AUUGAACGCUGGCGGCAUGCUUUACACAUGCAAGUCGAACGGUAACAGGCCGCAAGGUGCUGACGAGUGGCGAACGGGUGAGUAAUGCAUCGGAACGUGCCCAGUCGUGGGGGAUAACGCAGCGAAAGCUGCGCUAAUACCGCAUACGAUCUAUGGAUGAAAGCGGGGGACCGUAAGGCCUCGCGCGAUUGGAGCGGCCGAUGUCAGAUUAGGUAGUUGGUGGGGUAAAGGCUCACCAAGCCAACGAUCUGUAGCUGGUCUGAGAGGACGACCAGGCACACUGGGACUGGGACACGGCCCAGACUCCUACGGGAGGCAGCAGUGGGGAAUUUUGGACAAUGGGCGCAAGCCUGAUCCAGCAAUGCCGCGUGCAGGAAGAAGGCCUUCGGGUUGUAAACUGCUUUUGUACGGAGCGAAAAGGCUCUCUCUAAUACAGGGGGCUCAUGACGGUACCGUAAGAAUAAGCACCGGCUAACUACGUGCCAGCAGCCGCCGUAAUAC
rnacentral:rRNA from 1 species